AAGAUCGAGUAAUGUGUGUAGAGUACACGAGCGGCGGACGGCUGAGUAACGCGUAGGAACGUACCCCAAAGUGAGGGAUAAGCACCGGAAACGGUGUCUAAUACCGCAUGUGGUCUUCGGAUUAAAGCUUCGGCGCUUUGGGAGCGGCCUGCGUAUGAUUAGUUUGUUGGUGAGGUAAUGGCUCACCAAGGCUUCGAUCAUUAGCUGGUCUGAGAGGAUGAUCAGCCAGACUGGACUGAGAACGGCCCAGACUCCUACGGGAGGCAGCAGUAGGGAAUUUCCACAAUGGACGAAAGUCUGAUGGAGCAACGCCGCGUGCAGGAUGAAGGCUUUCGGGUCGUAAACUGCUUUUAUAUGUGACGAUUUUGACGGUAGCAUAUGAAUAAGGAUCGGCUAACUCCGUG
rnacentral:rRNA from 1 species